CAAGCGAAGUUGUCAACGGCCGUAUUCCAAGAUGGCGGCGAAGAAAUCGCGAACGUCAGUCCACGAACCGAUUUGUUGCGUGAUGAUGGCUACGCCCACGUCGUUGGGAAUGCCUGGAAUAAUUCACGCCGCUGUUGGUGGUGCUGAAGUAGCAGACUGAUUUGUAAUUCAAAUGUUUUCCCUUCUGUCAGUUUAAAUUGAGGAUCUCGUUUAGAUCACAUAUUUCUCCUCCUACGUGCUUAAAAGCCUUUAUAAUGCAUAUUGUUUUUCGCGGUAAUCUAAAUUGUGCUUUGGUGAGAAGGCAUAACCAUUUACUCAGUGAGAUUGCUUUCUUCUUGGGAUUUUUUUCACAAUAAUACAAUUAUUUCCUUGAUUCAAUGCUCUUCUGGAAGAAAUCCCCUGCUUUGUUAUAUAUUUUUGUUUACUCUCUGAUUUUCUGUAUGAAUAAUGCUACUAUUGUCUUGUUUAACAAUGUAAGUUUACAGUUGGACUGAAUUAUUUAACUGUUUUUAUCUUUCCAUAGAUGAGCAUUCAGAGCCUCUAAAAGAUACAACAGCGGACAGCCUCAAGUACUGGUUGGCGCUGUCUUUGCUCCUCAACGCCAUCUUUCCCCCGGCUGUUUACCUCUUCAUGCGCCACCGGUGGAGGCGGGACCGGCUGCACUGGACUUUAACCCGCGUGUCCAGCGGCGGCGUAACAGGCGACCAGCCAAAGACGGAGUCAGACGCUCCGCCGGCAUCAGCGAACCAGGACGCGCCGACCGAACUGUUGCUCCAGACCAACACACAUUCGGAGGAUACAAUUCACACUCAGCUUUAGGCUCCGCCCCCACAACCCCCCACACGACGUUGCCCGUGGUUUGCUCUUCGUUCAGCACGUCUGUGCGGACCCAAAGGACCUGGACGCUCAGCGAGAGACGCGUGGCGGCACAGAGACAAGUUGACCCCGCGACUGAAGAGUUUUAAGCAACGCCGGCGUCACCGGGGCGAGGACGAGCACGCCCUGACCCGCAUCUGGGAGGAGAUGUGCGUGCAGCGUCACAAGUUCAUGAGUUCACGAUGCACUUUGAUAUAUCGAGUCUGAAUCCUCCCCAAAAAAACAAUUAAAAAAACAGGACAGCUUCCACGUCUCAAACUGCAACGUCCGUUUCCUUCGGUCCGGUCCCUCCGGGCUCGGGUCACCAGCUUGAGCCCAUUUGCAGCUUUUUUGGACGUGGCGAUAAAAUAACGCCGGCUGCAGAUUUUUUUGUUUUUAAAGCACUGCUGGAUUUUGGCAGCUCAUUGAUUUUUUUUCUUUUUUGUAUUGCGAGAAUUAAGUCUGAUUGUGAAGAUGAUACAAAACACAUUUUAAGUGAAUCUAUAGUCGAGCUGCCAAGAGAUCUUCUACUUCUUUACUGCAUUGCGACAUAUAUACAGUAUACAUAUACAUAUAUGUAUAUAUACAUAUAUAUAUAUAUAUAUAUGUAUAUAUAUACACAUACAUCAGUCUAACAACAUGCAAUUAGCAGCAUUUUUACACCCUAUCAUAUCAUAUUUGAAAUAAGGUUGGAGUUAUAAUUCUGCCUCGCCUGUGUGGUAUUUUAUUUAUUUUUGUACGAUAGUCUUUGCACUUCAUGUUCCACCAAUCAGCAACUGUGGUACUUUAUUGGGGAUUAUAUAAAUAUACUGUAUCUGUAUACAUUUCA